rnacentral:rRNA from 1 species
AUUGAACGCUGGCGGCAUGCCUAACACAUGCAAGUCGAACGAGUGGCGGACGGGUGAGUAAUGUCUGGGAAACUGCCUGAUGUAGGGGGAUAACUACUGGAAACGUUAGCUACUACCGCAUACCAUCAGAUGUGCCCAGAUGGGAUUAGCUUGGUGGUGGGGUAACGUCUCACCAAGGCGACGAUGCCUAGCUGGUCUGAGAGGAUGACCGGCCACACUGGAACUGAGACACGGUCCAGACUCCUACGGGAGGCAGCAGUGGGGAAUAUUGCACAAUGGGCGAAAGCCUGAUGCAGCCACGCCGCGUGUAUGAAGAAGGCCUUCGGGUUGUAAAGUACUUUCAGCGGGGAGGCGUUACCCACAGAAGAAGCACCGGCUAACUCCGUGCCAGCAGCCGCGGUAAUUC